rnacentral:rRNA from 1 species
CCUACGGGAGGCAGCAGUGGGGAAUAUUGGACAAUGGGGGAAACCCUGAUCCAGCGACGCCGCGUGAGUGAAGAAGUAUUUCGGUACGUAAAGCUCUAUCAGCAGGAAAGAAAAUGACGGUACCUGACUAAGAAGCCCCGGCUAACUACGUGCCAGCAGCCUCGGGAAUACGUAGGGGGCAAGCGUUAUCCGGAUUUACUGGGUGUAAAGGGAGCGUAGACGGCAGCGCAAGUCUGCAGUGAAAUGCCGGGGCACAACCCCGGAACUGCCCUGGAAACAUGGAAGCUGGAGUGCAGGAGGGGUAAGCAGAAUUCCUGGUGUAGCGGUGAAAUGCGUAGAUAUCAGGAGGAACACC